CUCGCUUUUAUUUUGCCUCGUAGCAAAUAUCGGGGUCUUAGAUCGUAAUUUCUGCUCUUGUCCAACAGCGAUCUUUCUCGCAACUAUCUCAAUGGAUCGAUCCCUGCAGCAUGGGCUUCCCUUCCUCUCACCGAUUUGUCGCUUUUGGGAAAUCACAUUUCUAGAACAAUUCCAAAGGAGCUAGGAAACAUCAUGACACUCAAGUCACUAGUCAUUGAAGUUAACGAGGUCGAAGGACCUCUUCCUCCAGAGCUUGGUAAUUUGCGCAGCUUGGAGAGAUUCCUUGCUUGUUCGAAUAACUUGACAGGAGAAAUACCUAUUACCUUCGGCAACUUGAGAAACUUGACGGACUUGUAUAU